rnacentral:rRNA from 1 species
GACGAACGCUGGCGGCGUGCUUAACACAUGCAAGUCGAACGGAAAGGCCCUGCUUUUGUGGGGUGCUCGAGUGGCGAACGGGUGAGUAACACGUGAGUAACCUGCCCUUGACUUUGGGAUAACUUCAGGAAACUGGGGCUAAUACCGGAUAGGAGCUCCUGCUGCAUGGUGGGGGUUGGAAAGUUUCGGCGGUUGGGGAUGGACUCGCGGCUUAUCAGCUUGUUGGUGGGGUAGUGGCUUACCAAGGCUUUGACGGGUAGCCGGCCUGGGAGGGUGACCGGCCACAUUGGGACUGAGAUACGGCCCGGACUCAUACGGGGGGCAGCAGUGGGGAAUAUUGCACAAUGGGCGGAAGCCUGAUGCAGCAACGCCGCGUGCGGGAUGACGGCCUUCGGGUUGUAAACCGCUUUCGCCUGUAACGAAGCGUGAGUGACGGUAAUGGGUAAAGAAGCACCGGCUAACUACGUG